UGUUUUAUUGAUUUUUCAUAUAGUAAUCAUUCUCGAAUUAAAAAAUCAUAAAUCUAAAAUUGUUUUCUAAUUAUAACUAUCGAAGUUGUACUGUAAAAUUUACAUAAAUGCAUAUUUAUAACAAAUGUGAUGCAUUAAUGAUUUCUCAGCACGAUUCUGAUUCUAUUUUCUAUAAGUUGAAUACCUUCUUACAUACAUAUGUACAUAUGUACAUACGUGUACAUGCAGAGUUAUGCUAAAAAAAUGCAAUAAAUAUUUCAGGCUCAAUAUUAUUUACAAAAUUGUGCAUAAUCAUAACACACUAACAGAUAUUAUGUUUAUACUUAUAAAUCAUUUUAAACAAUAUUUGUUUUUUUAUGAAUACUGCCGUUGGCGUCUGUCAACAAUUAUAAUAUCCAUUAAUCUGCAACUAUUAAAUUAAUCGGCAAAUCGCGCACAUUUUCCAACCCCACAAAAAUGCACACAUUUACAACCAUUUAUUGCUGCCAGUUACAUGCGAGCUAAACGUGCAUUGAAUUAAUAAGAAAUAGGCAAAAAUAAAGCGCAAUGAUAGAAGAAAAUAUGAUAUUUCAUUUAACACGUUCACCAAACUGUUGUGCUCACAGCAUGACUCGUUCCUAUUGCGGCGAGUAAAAGAAUAAAGUGCAGGACCAAGCAGCAGCAUUGCAUUUAUUUGGUGCCUAGGUCAAUGCCAUAAAUGCAGUUUGACAUUGACUUUGACCGCUGCAAUAAAAAGCUAAAAGUGAAUGCACUGUGAAAAGAGUUCGAAAAAGUGAUACAUGUUUUUAGCAAAAUGAGAACGUAAACAAAAACUAGUUUGGCUGCAAGCUAAAGGUGCACAAAAGCAAAUGCCACUUGAAAGGUAUGCAAUUAUGUUGGAAGAAGAAGAAAAACAAAAUACAAAUCAGUAUUUACAUGUCACAACUUGUUCUUUGGUAGAUAUUACAAGCACAAAUCGACUAAAGACUUAAGCAAGGAACUUUCAGCCCUAAUAACAAUUGGUAUUUACACUUAAGUGUUUAUCUUAAGCUUUAGCGAUAACAAGCAAAUAAAAAUGUAAACGGAAGAUGCACCGCACGUGAACUAAAGAUUUUAUUUACUUGGAAUUAUACAGGUUUCUUAGCGUAAUUGAGCAGGUAAUAAAAAUACACUGUGCGAAAAUUUUGUAUUUUUUUAAAUUAUUUUUAAUAAUUUGCUUUGGUGUCGUCUUUUAUAUAAAAGUAAAGUGAUUAAUUUAUUCAUAAGUUUAAUAUGGUUUAUUUAUUGCUAAGAGUUGCUCUUUCAAAUAACACUGGUCUACAGUAGUUCAAUUGCUCUAGAUAUAAAAUCGAUUUGGGACAUAAAUAUUUGUGCCCCAAUGCAUGAAACUAUUAAUGGCUUUGCAGAUUAAGUUUUAAAACUUUGUUUUAAUUUUACUUAAAAAAAGGAAACAUGAAACAAAAUAACAGAAAUCUUUAUAACUCCUAAACUAUUUGUCGUAGAGAAAAACUAAAAUGUGGAAAUUUGCAGAAUAACAAGAUCAAUAAUUAUAUAAAAGAAAAUUUAAAAUGUGUCUCAAAUCACCAGUUUUUAAAGAUAUUAUGCGAAACUUUUUUUACAUGCAUGUUCUUCACAGAAAUUUAAUUUUCCAUUAGCGGUAUUUUUGUAAAAGAUUCACAGCUUUACAGGGAUAACAGGAGAGGAGGAAUUUAGUUUUUUUUUGUUUCAUAUCUUUGAUUUUAUAUUCUUAGAAUAUGCUGCUAUAGAUUACUAUAUAAUAGCUAUGUUCACCUAACUGUUGUUUGUAUCACCUAAAGGUUAAAUAUACACGCGGCCACGCAAACCUUACCACUA